rnacentral:rRNA from 1 species
UACGUAGGGGGCUAGCGUUGUCCGGAUUUAUUGGGCGAAAAGAGCGUGUAGGCGGCCAGGUAGGUCUGGUGUGAAAACUCGAGGCUUAACCUCGAGAUGUCAUCGGAAACCAUUUGGCUAGAGUCCGGAAGAGGAGAGUGGAAUUCCUGGUGUAGCGGUGAAAUGCGCAGAUAUCAGGAAGAACACCAAUGGCGAAAGCAGCUCUCUGGGACGGUACUGACGCUGAGACGCGAAAGCGUGGGGAGCGAACAGG